UUGGAUAUGAUUUUGACAUAAUAGUGGGUUGGGUGUAACCCUUCCUACUGGCAGGUAAAGGAUGGCUUGGGGGGCUGUGAGUGUGAGAGUGUGGGGGGUUGAUUCCAGGUCACACACAACACCUCAGCUCAUUUUCUUCAUCUCAGGUUCUUGUCCUCUUGUGAUUGUUAUAAACUCUUUAAAAUGUAGUUGCACCACAUCUUACAGCUAUACAGCUGUAUCACAAUUCUGGAAGGCAUCAUCAGAUCACAGCGCC